AACAUAAGGAGGAUGGGUGGCGAUAGCCUCUCUUUAUGUUUGAAUAAACAAAUUUGAGUAUUUUUUUUUUCUUUCACUUUACUACUUAUAAGUUAAACUAGUUUUUCCAAAUCAACUUGCAUUUAUUUCAUCAAAUAAACAAGAGAAGUGAUAUUUAUACACCUCUUUCUUUUUCAACGGACCAUAGUUAUUUAUGUUUCUUCAUUCUCUUUUUCUUUAAUUGAUUCAAAAAUUAUAAAUGAACAAGGUGUGCAUGGAUAGGAGAAAGGUUUGUGAAAAUAGUCUUUCAUAACCAAAUACUAAGCAAAAUUGAGCAUAAAAACGAAGGGGAGGGCUGGGAUUUCUCUCCACAUCCCUUUCAACUGGAUCCUCUGGAUUCUUCAAUUCUGAAGCUAGAGAGAGAUAGAGAUGGAGAAGAUACAGAGAAGAGAGUCGGAGAGAGAGAUGGAGAGUAUACAGAGAGAAGAGAGUCGAAGAGGAAAGAAAAUGAAUAUGAGAAGGUGAAGGGAGUCAAGAUGAACAUGAGAAGAAAAUGAUAUAUGUACCCGUAUCUUGGACUAUACUGCAAAGCAAUUGGACAAAAAUUGACAGCUUUUGUGACCGGUCAGAUUUCAGCAUGGGUUUAAGAUUGCAGUGCUCCAAAAAUUGGGACAACCUUUGAAUUGACUGGAACGGGCCUCACGAAAUGUAUCCUCUCUCCUAAUGAAUAACAAUGAUGCAAGACCUUAUGAUAUUCAAGAGAGUGAGUGACUCCUUUUGCCUCGUGUCACUUCUAUAGUUCUAUAUAGAGUUUUCAUUACUUAUCUCAAUAGUGAUAUACUUAAAUACACAAAAUAAAUAUUCUUUAACACACGUGAUUUUUGCAUGCAGAUAGAGCUCAUCUCUUAACUGCAUGUAAAAAAAAAUGUAAGUUUUUGUCCCUAUCCUGUGUUAAAUGAUAUAUG